rnacentral:rRNA from 1 species
AUGCAGAGAGAGAAGAAAGGAGAGGAUGGUGUAUUAUCCGCUCGGCGUCGUCGUCGGCGCCGCCGUGCGCUGCCACUGCCCGUCCAUCCUCCUCCUCCGCCGCGCCCCGCCAGCGACGGCGGCCACCUCUCCCCAUCGCCGCCCACCCCACCCCCUGCUCCAGCUCCGUCCGCUCGCCUCCUCGGCUGGACGCCUGGACGGCGGCCGCCACGCCGUGACCCGGAGGACGGCGAUGACGGGUUCCUCACCCUCGACCUGGAAGACUUCGAUGGGUUCGCCGACGGGGAGGCGGAGGGGGAGGAGGGCCCGUCGCCGUGGGAGGGCGCAGUGGUGUACCGGCGCGACGCGGCGGCGCAGCACGUCGAGUACGCCACCACCCUGGAGCGCCUCGGCCUGGCCGACCUCUCCUCCCCGCACUCCCGGGUGCGCGCCGCCGCCAUGGGCAUCCUCUCCUCCGCCAGUGCCGGCGACACGGCCGCGACGACGACGCCCGUGCUCGUCUCAGUCGACGUGGCCCGGCGCCGCGGCCGCUCCGGCUCGACGGCAUCCUGCGCACCGUCAUCACCCUCGGCUGCUACCGGUGUGCCGAGCCAGCUGCCCAAGGCAUAUUCGCGAACUUCUCACUCCUACUGA